AGCGAACGCUGGCGGCAGGCCUAACACAUGCAAGUCGAACGAACCUUUCGGGGCUGUUGGCGGACCGGGGAGUACAACGGUGGAAAGCGCCUUUAGAUUCGCCCUUUAUUAGGGAAUAAUGUACUAAUACUGUAUGUGAUAUCGGGGGGGAAGAUUUAUCGCCUUUUGUAUGGCCCGCGGCUGAUUCCCUAGUUGGUUGAGGUAAUGGCUCACCAAGGCGACGAUCAGUAGCUGGUCUGAGAGGAUGAUCAGCCACAUUGGGACUGAGACACGGCCCAAACUCCUACGGGAGGCAGCAGUGGGGAAUCUUGCGCAAUGGGCGAAAGCCUGACGCAGCCAUGCCGCGUGAAUGAUGAAGGUCUUAGGAUUGUAAAAUUCUUUCACCGGGGACGAUAAUGACGGUACCCGUAGAAGAAGCCCCGGCUAACUUCGUG
rnacentral:rRNA from 1 species